AAUGGGGCUGCAGAAAAUGGAGACAGAGACAUUUCACACAAGGAAGAAACAUGACUUCCCAAUGUCAUUUGAACACUUUUCCUCUUCUUUAGACAGAAAAAAAAAUGAUCAUGAAGGUGGUCUACAGUUUGACAGGAUCAAAACAAGCCAUUUGACUAUGCUACAGCAGUGCCAAGAGAACUCAAGCAAGACUGGAGAAUCGCUGUGCAAGACACUGUAUGCACAAAGGAUCAGAAUUCUUCCAGCACAGUGAUAAAACAAACCAAAUAUUAAUCAAGAAACAAAAUUUAUCCAAUAAAUUUGCAGACACAAGUUA